rnacentral:rRNA from 1 species
GAUGAACGCUGGCGGCGUGCCUAAUACAUGCAAGUCGAACGCAUCCUUCGGGGUGAGUGGCAGACGGGUGAGUAACGCGUGGGAACGUGCCCUUCAGUUCGGGAUAACCCAGGGAAACUUGGGCUAAUACCGGAUACGUGCGAGAGCAGAAGGAUUUAUCGCUGAAGGAUCGGCACGCGUCUGAUUAGCUAGUUGGUGGGGUAAUGGCCCACCAAGGCGACGAGCAGUAGCUGGUCUGAGAGGAUGAUCAGCCACAUUGGGACUGAGACACGGCCCAAACUCCUACGGGAGGCAGCAGUGGGGAAUAUUGGACAAUGGGCGCAAGCCUGAUCCAGCCAUGCCGCGUGAGUGAUGAAGGCCUUAGGGUUGUAAAGCUCUUUCGUCCGGGACGAUAAUGACGGUACCGGAAGAAGAAGCCCCGGCUAACUUCGUGCCAGCCGCCGCAGUAA